rnacentral:rRNA from 1 species
UACGUAGGGGGCAAGCGUUGUCCGGAUUUAUUGGGCGUAAAGAGCGUGUAGGCGGCCAGGUAGGUCAGCUGUGAAAACUCGAGGCUCAACCUCGAGACGUCGGUUGAAACCACCUGGCUAGAGUCCGGAAGAGGGAAGUGGAAUUUCCGGUGUAGCGGUGAAAUGCGUAGAUAUCGGAAGGAACAUCAGUGGCGAAAGCGACUUCCUGGUCCAGCAUCGACGUUCAGGCACGAAAGCGUGGGGAGCAAACAGG